rnacentral:rRNA from 1 species
GGGCCCGCACAAGCGGUGGAGCAUGUGGUUUAAUUCGACGCAACGCGAAGAACCUUACCAGCUCUUGACAUUGCUAAGUCGCGAGUUUUAGAGAUAAAACUCUUCAGUUCGGCUGGACUUAGUACAGGUGCUGCAUGGCUGUCGUCAGCUCGUGUCGUGAGAUGUUGGGUUAAGUCCCGCAACGAGCGCAACCCUUGUCCUUAGUUGCCAGCAAUUCGGUUGGGCACUCUAGGGAGACUGCCGGUGAUAAACCGGAGGAAGGUGGGGAUGACGUCAAGUCCUCAUGGCCCUUACAGGCUGGGCUACACACGUGCUACAAUGGCGAUGACAGUGGGCAGCGACCCCGCAAGGGUGAGCUAAUCUCCAAAAGUCGUCUCAGUUCGGAUUGUCCUCUGCAACUCGAGGGCAUG